rnacentral:rRNA from 1 species
UAUCCUACGGGGGACAGCAGUGAGGAAUAUUGGUCAAUGGUCGGGAGACUGAACCAGCCAAGCCGCGUGAGGGAUGAAGGUACAGAGUAUCGUAAACCUCUUUUGUCAGGGAACAAAGGCGGGGACGUGUCCCCGGAUGAGUGUACCUGAAGAAAAAGCAUCGGCUAACUCCGUGCCAGCAGCCGCGGUAAUACGGAGGAUGCGAGCGUUAUCCGGAUUUAUUGGGUUUAAAGGGUGCGUAGGCGGGAUGCCAAGUCAGCGGUAAAAAUGCGGUGCUCAACGCCGUCGAGCCGUUGAAACUGGCA